rnacentral:rRNA from 1 species
AUUGAACGCUGGCGGCAGGCCUAACACAUGCAAGUCGAGCGAGCGGCGGACGGGUGAGUAAUGUCUGGGAAACUGCCUGAUGGAGGGGGAUAACUACUGGAAACGGUAGCUAAUACCGCAUACCAUCAGAUGUGCCCAGAUGGGAUUAGCUAGUAGGUGGGGUAACGGCUCACCUAGGCGACGAUCCCUAGCUGGUCUGCGAGGAUGACCAGCCAAACGGGAACGGAGACACGGUCCAGACUCCUACGGGAGGCAGCAGUGGGGAAUAUUGCACAAUGGGCGCAAGCCUGAUGCAGCCAUGCCGCGUGUGUGAAGAAGGCCUUCGGGUUGUAAAGCACUUUCAGCGGUGAGGCGUUACCCGCAGAAGAAGCACCGGCUAACUCCGUGCCAGCAGCCGCGGUAAUAC